rnacentral:rRNA from 1 species
GCAAGUCGAACGAGAACGCACCUUCGGGUGUUAUUAAAGUGGCGAACGGGUGAGUAACGCGUAGGUAAUCUGCCCUAUAGUCGGGGAUAAACACUGGAAACGGUGCCUAAUACCGGAUGUGAACCAGUACUGCAUAGUAUUGAGUUUAAAGUAUUUUUAUGCUAUAGGAUGAGCCUGCGUCGCAUUAGCUAGUUGGUAAGGUAAGGGCUUACCAAGGCAACGAUCCCUAGCUGGUCUGAGAGGAUGAUC